UCUCCUUACUCUCGCAAGUCUCGUUACAAUGGUCAAAGCACGUCUGCGUUGUAGUGUUUAUUUUCAUCUCUACAAUCCAUCAUAAAAGAAUUAUUAUUAUCUAUGGGGGAAAUUACGAUACAUUGAUAAUAUAUUCAAAACUAUAAAGAAACACACCACAAAAAAGAUCAUAGGAAAUGGCCACCAUAACCACGAGGGAGAAUGCAACUAACAACUUGGAAGAACUCAUUUUAAACUUGAUCUAUCUCUGACUCUAGCACUCAAUUUCUUUUUCUAAAACAAAAUAUAGUUUAAGAUAUGGUUUGAUGUGAAGGGGACAAUUU